UACGGGGGGGGCAAGCGUUGUUCGGAAUUACUGGGCGUAAAGGGUUUGUAGGUGGCUUGUUAAGUCAGACGUGAAAUCCCUCAGCUUAACUGGGGAACUGCGUCUGAUACUGGCGAGCUUGAGUGCAGGAGAGGAACGCGGAAUUCCAGGUGUAGCGGUGAAAUGCGUAGAUAUCUGGAGGAACACCGGUGGCGAAGGCGGCAUCCUGGACCGGCAUUGACGCUGAGGAGCGAAAGCUAGGGGAGCAAACGGG
rnacentral:rRNA from 1 species